rnacentral:rRNA from 1 species
CUUCUAUGACGUUAGCGGCGGACGGGUGAGUAACACGUGGGCAACCUGCCUGUAAGACUGGGAUAACUUCGGGAAACCGAAGCUAAUACCGGAUAGGAUCUUCUCCUUCAUGGGAGAUGAUUGAAAGAUGGUUUCGGCUAUCACUUACAGAUGGGCCCGCGGUGCAUUAGCUAGUUGGUGAGGUAACGGCUCACCAAGGCAACGAUGCAUAGCCGACCUGAGAGGGUGAUCGGCCACACUGGGACUGAGACACGGCCCAGACUCCUACGGGAGGCAGCAGUGGUCAUAG